UACGUAGGUGGCAAGCGUUGUCCGGAUUUAUUGGGUUUAAAGGGUGCGUAGGCGGCUUUGUAAGUCAGUGGUGAAAUAUCUCAGCUUAACUGAGAGGGUGCCAUUGAUACUGCAGAGCUUGAGUACAGAUGAGGUAGGCGGAAUUGACGGUGUAGCGGUGAAAUGCAUAGAUAUCGUCAAGAACACCGAUAGCGAAGGCAGCUUACUGAGCUGUAACUGACGCUGAGGCACGGAAGUGUGGGGAGCAAACAGG
rnacentral:rRNA from 1 species